rnacentral:rRNA from 1 species
GACGAACGCUGGCGGCGUGCUUAACACAUGCAAGUCGAACGGAAAGGCCCUGCUUUUGUGGGGUGCUCGAGUGGCGAACGGGUGAGUAACACGUGAGUAACCUGCCCUUGACUUUGGGAUAACUUCAGGAAACUGGGGCUAAUACCGGAUAGGAGCUCAUGCUGCAUGGUGGGGGUUGGAAAGUUUCGGCGGUUGGGGAUGGACUCGCGGCUUAUCAGCCUGUUGGUGGGGUAGUGGCUUACCAAGGCUUUGACGGGUAGCCGGCCUGAGAGGGUGACCGGCCACAUUGGGACUGAGAUACGGCCCAGACUCCUACGGGAGGCAGCAGUGGGGAAUAUUGCACAAUGGGCGGAAGCCUGAUGCAGCAACGCCGCGUGCGGGAUGACGGCCUUCGGGUUGUAAACCGCUUUCGCCUGUGACGAAGCGUGAGUGACGGUAAUGGGUAAAGAAGCACCGGCUAACUACGUG